rnacentral:rRNA from 1 species
CAGCCGCCGCGGUAAUACCGGCGGCCCGAGUGGCGGUCACUAUUAUUGGGCUUAAAACGUCCGUAGCCGGGUUGGGAAGUCCUCCGGGAAAUCUGGCCGCUUAACGGUCAGAAUGCCGGAGGAUACUCCCAGCCUAGGGAGCGGGAGAGGCCGAGGGGAUUCCCGGAGUAGGGGGGAAAUCCUAUAAUCCCGGGAGGACCACCUGUGGCGAAGGCGCUCGGCGGGAACGCGUCCGACGGGGAGGGACGAAGGCCAGGGGAGCAAACCGGAUUAGAUACCCGGGUAGUCCUGGCUGUAAACGAUGCGGACUUUGUGUCGGACAAGCUAUGAGCUUGUCCGGUGCCGGAGGGAAACCGUUAAGUCCGCCGCCUGGGGAGUACGGCCGCAAGGCUGAAACUUAAAGGAAUUGGCGGG